rnacentral:rRNA from 1 species
GUGUCAGCCGCCGCGGUAAUACGUAGGUGGCAAGCGUUAUCCGGAUUUACUGGGUGUAAAGGGCGUGUAGGCGGGAUUACAAGUCAGAUGUGAAAACUAUGGGCUCAACCCAUAGCCUGCAUUUGAAACUGUAGUUCUUGAGUGAUGGAGAGGCAGACGGAAUUUCUCGUGUAGCGGUGAAAUGCGUAGAUAUGAGGAGGAACACCAGUGGCGAAGGCGGUCUGCUGGACAUUAACUGACGCUGAGGCGCGAAAGCGUGGGGAGCAAACAGGAUUAGAUACGCUGGUAGUCCACGCUGUAAACGAUGGAUACUAGGUGUGGGGGGACUGACCCCCUCCGUGCCGGAGUUAACACAAUAAGUAUCCCACCUGGGGAGUACGAUCGCAAGGUUGAAACUUAAAGGAAUUGGCGG